CCUACGGGAGGCAGCAGUGAGGAAUAUUGGUCAAUGGACGAGAGUCUGAACCAGCCAAGUAGCGUGAAGGAUGACUGCCCUAUGGGUUGUAACCUUCUUUUAUAUGGGAAUAAAAUGUUCCACGUUUGGGAUUUUGUAUGUACCAUAUGAAUAAGGAUCGGUUAACUCCGUGCCAGCAGCCGCGGUAAUACGGAGGAUCCGAGCGUUAUCCGGAUUUAUUGGGUUUAAAGGUGGCGUAGGUGGAUUGUUAAGUAAGUUGUGAAAGUUGGCGGCGCAACCGUAAAAGUGCAGUUGAAACUGGCAGUCUUGAGUGCAGUAGAGGUGGGCGGAAGUUGUGGUGUAGCGGUGAAAUGCUUAGAUAUCACGAAGAACUCCGAUUGCGAAGGCAGUUCACUGGACUGCAACUGACACUGAGGCUCGAAAGUGUGGGUAUCAAACAGGAUUAGAUACCCCUGUAGUC
rnacentral:rRNA from 1 species